CCGUGGUAAUUCUAGAGCUAAUACAUGCUAAAAACCUCGACUUCGGAAGGGGUGUAUUUAUUAGAUAAAAAACCAAUGCCCUUCGGGGCUCCUUGGUGAUUCAUAAUAACUUAACGAAUCGCAUGGCCUUGUGCCGGCGAUGGUUCAUUCAAAUUUCUGCCCUAUCAACUUUCGAUGGUAGAGUAGUGGUCUACCAUGGUUUCAACGGGUAACGGGAAUUUAGGGAUUGAUUCCGGAGAGGGAGCCUGAGAAACGGCUACCACAUCCAAGGAAGGCAGCAGGCGCGCAAAUUACCCAAUCCCGACGCGGGGAGGUAGUGACAAUAAAUACUGAUACAGGGCUCUUUUGGGUCUUGUAAUUGGAAUGAGUACAAUUUAAAUCCCUUAACGAGGAACAAUUGGAGGGCAAGUCUGGUGCCAGCAGCCGCGGUAAUUCCAGCUCCAAUAGCGUAUAUUAAAGUUGUUGCAGUUAAAAAGCUCGUAGUUGAACCUUGGGCCUGGCUGGCCGGUCCGCCUCACCGCGUGCACUGGUCCGGCCGGGCCUUUCCUUCUGGGGAGCCGCAUGCCCUUCACUGGGUGUGUCGGGGAACCAGGACUUUUACUUUGAAAAAAUUAGAGUGUUCAAAGCAGGCCUAUGCUCGAAUACAUUAGCAUGGAAUAAUAGAAUAGGACGUGUGGUUCUAUUUUGUUGGUUUCUAGGACCGCCGUAAUGAUUAAUAGGGAUAGUCGGGGGCAUCAGUAUUCAAUUGUCAGAGGUGAAAUUCUUGGAUUUAUUGAAGACUAACUACUGCGAAAGCAUUUGCCAAGGAUGUUUUCAUUAAUCAGUGAACGAAAGUUAGGGGAUCGAAGACGAUUUUUAUCUGGUCGUYAAUAGCGAAACUAGUCUACUUGGGUAGGCGACACCGUCAAAUUGCGGGGACUUCCUAAAACCCCAGGGUACUAACCCCUACGCGAAAGCCUAGGGGGGCCACUGUUAAUCGCAAUGGAUAUAGUCAUAACCCCUGGGGAUGUACAAUGGUUAAUCCGCAGCCAACUCCUACGGGCCUUCGCGCCUAUGGAUGCAGUUCACAGACUAGACGUCGGUGGGAUCCGUCUGAUACGG
rnacentral:rRNA from 1 species